UAAGGAAUAUUGCUCAAUGGGAGAAAUCCUGAAGCAGCAACGCCGCGUGGAGGAUGAAGGGUCUAUGACUUGUAAACUCCUGUAAAGAAGGAAAAAAUUCCCAUUAGAUGGGAGAUGAUGGUACUUCUGGAGUAAGCCCCGGCUAACUACGUGCCAGCAGCCGCGGUAAUACGUAGGGGGCAAGCGUUGUCCGGAUUUACUGGGUGUAAAGGGUGCUCAGGCGGAUUUGUAAGUCAGAGGUGAAAUCUUACAGCUUAACUGUGAAACUGCCUUUGAUACUGCAAGCCUAGAGUAUGGAAGAGAGUGAUGGAAUAUCUGGUGUAGCAGUGAAAUGCGUAGAUAUCAGAUAGAACACCAAUGGCGAAGGCAGUCACUUGGUGCAUUACUGACGCUAAAGCACGAAAGCGUGGGUAGCAAACA
rnacentral:rRNA from 1 species